rnacentral:misc_RNA from 1 species
AAUCUUCUUAAAAGAGUGGAACUUCUUGUCUGGAACAUAAAUAUUUUCUUGAUAUACCUCAUCUGCCAAAAGAACGAGGCCCUCUUGCUUGCAGAACUUCACUAUUUGCUCUUGGUUUUCCUUGGUGAGAACCUGCCCAGUAGGAUUGCCGGGGUUUAUAACCACCAAUGCCCUAACUGAAAUACCCUUAGACUUGGCAGACUCCAAUUGCUUCUUCAGCUCAGAAAUUUCCAAUCCCCAUCCCGAUGCUUCAUCAAGAUAGUAAGGAACAAGAGUACCACCAUGAAGAGCUAUAGAAGCAGAGUACAGAGGGUACUGAGGAAUGGGGCAGAGUAUUCCAUCUUUCUCUGACCUUAUCAGCAAUUGCAUCAUCAUAUGAACUGCUGGGCUUGCACCAUCUGUUAAAAAUAUAUCAUUAGGAUCUGCAGGAAAACCAUCACGAGCAUUAAUUCCUUCAGCAAUCACAUCACGUAGCCCCUUGAUUCCCUGACUGUGGCUGUAAGCACCAGUUGCUUUCCCAGGAAUUUGUCUCAGAAUUUUUAAAGCUCGCUUAACAGCAUCUUCACUGAACAAACGUGCUACUUCCUUUAUUUCCAGAAUAGAUGGAUGGUCACACAAUGCAAGAACCUCACGGAAAAAUGUUAUUGGCUGCUGACCGAGUGACUGAGGAUUUCCUAUAUUGCAGUAUAGUAUCUCGUUAAAAGUACGUGAUCCUGGAUUAGUCAGUAGCUCUUCUUGCAGUCUCUGAGCAAGGGCGACAAUCUCACCACGGACAGCAUA